CUAUAAAAGCUAUGUGGGCUCUAGGGUUUUCUUAUCCAUACAUGUAGAAGGUAGAAGAAGUGUGUUUAUUACCCUAGGGUUUGAGAUGUGUUCUUGUUUUAGGGUUUUAGAUUUAGAUUUCCCUCACCCUAGGGUUUUGAAGAGGGAGGAAGAGAAAGCAGAGUGAGAUGACUGGCUGUUUUUUGAGGGGAAUGUUGGCUGGCUCGAGGCAUUCACAUAAGAUGAAGAUAUAUAAGUGAAGGUGUCGGACCAGGCUUCAUUCCUCUCAAAUAUACAUGUUCUAUCUAUAUGCAUUUGAAUCUCUUCCGUAUGCCUCUAGGGUUGAUGAUGUAUAGACUGUUGUUCAGUCACGGCAAUCUAGGGUUUUUGUCUCCUUUUGUUUUCCUAGAAAAUUCUGAGAUUUUAGGUUUAGAUCCUUAUGGGUUUUUCAUUUCCCCAUCGACCAUCUCCCAACUCUCUCAAGGUUGCAACUCUCAGGUAAUUGAUUAAUGGCAAACCCUCUUUCUCUCUCUCUCUCUCUGUCUUUUUGAAGGUUGCAUGGAAUCAGUUCCAACCACUUGUUGAUAAUGAAAACAAACACAGAUCACUAGAUGCCAUUGACUUUGAAAGGUCUUUCCUUUUUGUGAAGUUGAAGUUUCUCCCCCAGCAAGAACACAGCCUUUGCUCAUCAACACUUUCCCAAUUGGAAUGGGUCUUUGAUUUCUAGUUAUGUUGCUGCAAACAGAAAGAUUUGCUUCUCCAAAUGACCAAAAUGAUCAGUUGCUGAGAAAGAUUUAUUGAAGAGGACUCUGAAAACCAAAAAUCUUGCAUCAUAUUAAUUGUGGAUGUCAGUCAAGUUUCCUAGGCAUCUAGGGUUUCUGAACAACAUACCUAUAAGAUCCUAGCCUGUUUUUCUU